UGUGAGUCAGUCAUCUUGCCCCAUAAAAAUGAGCAGCUCCCCAUGUCUGUUGAGAUCCUCUCUGUGGUGGUGGAUUGUUUGACAGGAGCUUCCCUUAAGCAGUCAAUGGAUGCAGGUGGUUUUGAAGGACUGCAUUUCAAAGAGAAGCUGGUAAAGAAUCAAUAUCAUUUUAAAUGUCUUUUGAGGUUCUGUGACUUACGGGUUAAGCUUCAUAUUGGACAGUAGCGCAGUAAGUUUGCAGAAAGAAGAUUGGUACGUAACAAGUCUUUCAGGCCUUGUGUACAUUGUAAAUGGAAAGUAUUUUUCUGUCAGUAUAAGAGGAAGACUUUUAUUCCACUAGAAAACGUUGGGGAAGACUUACAGAGAGGAAUUGUAGCACAUCAUCUCUUACAUCAGUUGGAGAAUGAUUUCAGAAGCAGGAUAACAAAGGAGGAGAAUACAGAAACGAGAGAAGAUAUAAGGAGUAGGCUGAAGGAGAUCUCAUAUAUCCAGAAGACAGCAAAAUAGAUGGUAUUUGACUCCACUGAAAUAAAGGCAUUUGUUAUCCUAUGCACAGCGAAGGCCAGAAAGGCCAUUCUUUUACUGGGUUGUUUAGUCCUACAUUUUAUUUGACUGUUCCUCAUUUUCAUUCUUUCUCCAAUAGCUUUUAUUUCUUCAUUUUUUUUUUUCCCCUCUCAGAAAUCCCUGCAGGACUCUGUUAACUAGAACAUAAUGUCAUUGGCCAGGUUGAAAACAUUAUUUCUUACAUAACGUGAUAUAUUGUUUGUUUUCAAAUAUAUUUCUUACCACUACUUUUCAAUGAACCCUCCAUAAAUCCAGCUGAGGGCAGGCAAGAUCCAUGUAGCUCUGAUAAGAAGGGUAAACCUAAUUUACUAAAGAUUCAUGAGUUGUUUCCUCAAACCCUGCCAGCUAUAAUGCCCAAGCAUAGCAUAUCUGAUAGAAUUACUCUGAAUGCAAAAUAGUGUCUCUACUGCAACUGAAUUUGAGAAAUAUCAUCGCUAAUCUCACAAGAAAUAGUAACACUGCCUCUUAAUUUACAAUAAAUAUACAUUUUAGUUUAUGAGUCUAAAAUUAACUGUAAUGACAGUUUAAUUUUUUCAAAGAUGACAUUGUACUCCAGCCUUGUAUGCUCUGUAUGCAUUUACAUACAACAUAAUGCAUUUCUUGCAUGCUCUAAACAGACUGCAUGUGAAGCAGAUAAGAUUUGAAUAAAAUUGGGAGCACUGAUACUGCUCCACUGGA